rnacentral:lncRNA from 1 species
UGAGCCUUGAGCCUACAAAGAGGAGUCUCCAUACGUUAUUUUAUUUCCGAGAAAAUGUUAAGCAACCUUCAUACGUUGCUUCAUUAAUUUCCGAAAAUUUUUAGAAAAAAGGAAGGAGCGGUGUUUCUGUCGGGUGCCUCACAGGAAGUGCGCAAAAUUGUAAGUACCGCCAAGUAGUUCUACCCAAAUUUUGAAAACUCUGCGACCAAUCACAGUCAAACGAUUUUAGCGCUCAACAGUUUUCGCGGCUGUUUUCUGUACCACUCGCCGACCGAAUUCCGUCAAUCUCAAUGUUUGUUGAAUUUUAGUCGCCGAAAUUCAAGUGAUCUUUUGAUUUUGCGGUGUUACUUUGGUGACUUUUGAAGGAUUUCAGUUUCGAAAACCUUUUUAGAUUAGUGAUAAUUGUGCUGCUCGAGAUUUGACGGUCGCGAAUCGUCUAGUGAUCGGAGAAAACCGAAAUUUGUUUCCUCGUGAGUGUGUAUCUGUUCGCCAUAUUGCCCCUGUGUUUUUAGGUGGAUCCAAAAACCUGUCGAAAACUCAUCCGUUUCGUUCAUCAUCUUCUUCUGAAGCGCCCGGAUAACAUUUUGGAUCUAAUUUUGUCCUGGUGAGUGUUCAAUCCAUCUUUGAUCAUCAUAUCUAUCGCAAGUUGGCGCGUAAGUUACCUAGAUUUUUUUAUUCCUUUGUCAGCCUUCACCGGAGGAAUGGAGGUUUCGAACUGAAGAGGCUUUCAUACCUGUUUUUGGAAUGGAGAAUUUGCACCCAAAUUUUUAUUGCUUCAUUUGAGAGUGUUCAAAGAAACGAGUUCGAAGUAUUUCUUAUAAUUUUUUUUCCUGAUGUGGGAAUUAGUUCAAAAAUGAGUUUAGAAGUGAGGAUAUGCACCGCCAAGUCACGUCAUCCGGCGGCAUUUCCCAUUUAAAUACACGUAUUUCAGCAGAUUUGAUAAUUUUGUCAUAUCCCUCCCAAUAAUUGUUUAAUUUAUAAACCAAUGGUAUCCUCAUGAUCAGUUCACUCAGUAGUUGCCACUUGAACACGAGAUUCAUCAAAUUUCGGACGCCUGCAAACUCCAUCGAUUCGUCUUCAUUCUGAUCCUCUUUCAUAUUUUGCUUUACACCGCCUCGAUAGAACUCGUUUGAAGGGAUUCGUCGCUUGGCGGACCAACAGGCGUAACUGCAAUUUGAGAUGAGCCCGAGAAAGCAUUAAGUUAAAUAGACGGCAAGGUUCAUCGCGAAAUGCAGUUACGCCCUUAUGUCAGGAAGGCGACGAAUUAUGCCUUUUUCCAGCUUUGAUCCCUAAUCUAAACUAAUGCCUGCGGGCCGAUUAUUGAAAUUGAUAGACAAAGAAGACAAAAGAGUUAUGGAGGGAUCCUAUCGGUGGAGGCGGAUGGUUGCAAAGGACAAAGGACGUGGGUAAUAGACUAACUAACGGCAACCCACGAGAGACCCGACAGUUACUCCAUCAUUUACCUCCUUAGUCUAAAAGAAUCACCCAUUUCAACCAAUAGGAUCGCUCUAUACUUCUUAUGUCUUCUUUGUCUAUAGCUUUGUCUGUCAAUUUCAAUAAUCGGCCCGCUGAAGAGGGAAACACUUGUCUGGAACAGGCUAAAAAUAACGACGCCAAAGGAGAACGCAAAGAUAGGAAGCUUUUUUAUCAACCGUAAAAAAAUUACAGCUCGCACGAAAAGGAGUCUCAUUGUCUACAAAUGGUGUAGUUAGUUCACCGCAGCGUGUCAUCCCCGCGUUGUCAGACGUGCCCCUAAAAUGCGUGCUUUUUGUAUUGAUUUUCGUGAAUUUUUUGAAAGUGCGCAUCACUAUUCGGCAACGAUGUGGCAAGUAAUAGCAUGCGAGAGCUCGGAACUGCUCUUAAUAUGCAUGUGUUCGCCCAUUGAUGUCGGAUUUGGCCGACGCCCGUGAUUUUUUGUCGUUUAAAUUGGCAUUUACGUGCCCAGUACGGCAACCCGGCGCUGUUGUGGUUCGCA